AUUCAUACAUGCAAGUCGAACGGAAAGGCUCCUUCGGGAGUACUCGAGUGGCGAACGGGUGCGUAACAGGUGGAUAAUCUGCCUUUCGGUGGGGGAUACCGGCUGGAAACGGCCGCUAAUACCGCAUACGGUCUUUGGGACUCUUGUCUUGAAGAAGAAAGGGGCUUUUGCCUCGCCGGAAGAUGAGUCCGCCUCCCAUUAGCUAGUUGGUGAGAUAAUAGCCCACCAAGGCUUCGAUGGGUAGCCGAGCUGAGAGGUUGAUCGGCCACACUGGAACUGAGAUACGGUCCAGACACCUACGGGUGGCAGCAGUAGGGAAUAUUGCGCAAUGGGCGAAAGCUUGACGCAGCGAUGCCGCGUGGAUGAUGAAGGCCUUCGGGUCGUAAAGUCCUUUUCUGAGGGAAGAAUGUGCUGAGGAGUGGAAAGCCUUGGCAGUGACGGUACCUCAGGAAUAAGCAACGGCUAACUCCGUGCCAGCAGCCGCGGUAAUACGGAGGUUGCGAGCGUUGUUCGGAAUUACUGGGCGUAAAGGGAGCGCAGGCGGCCGGAUAAGUCUAAAGUGAAAUCCCGGGGCUCAACCUCGGAAUUGCUUUGGAUACUGCUCGGCUUGAGUACGUGAGAGGUAGGCGGAAUUCCAGGUGUAGCGGUGAAAUGCGUAUAUCUGGAGGAACAUCGGUGGCGAAAGCGGCCUACUGGCACGAAACUGACGCUGAGGCUCGAAAGCGUGGGGAGCGAACGGGAUUAGAUACCCCGGUAGUCCACGCCGUAAACGUUGUGCACUAGGUGUGGGAGGUAUCGACCCCUCCCGUGCCGUAGCUAACGCAUUAAGUGCACCGCCUGGGGAGUACGCCCGCAAGGGUGAAACUCAAAGAAAUUGACGGGGGCCCGCACAAGCGGUGGAGCAUGUGGUUUAAUUCGAGGCAACGCGAAGAACCUUACCCAGACUUGACAUCCCAAGUAAAGCCAUAGAAAUAUGGCCUUCCUCUUCGGAGGCUUGGUGACAGGUGUUGCAUGGCUGUCGUCAGCUCGUGUCGUGAGAUGUUGGGUUAAGUCCCGCAACGAGCGCAACCCCUAUCCUUAGUUACCAGCGGUUCGGCCGGGCACUCUAGGGAGACUGCCGGUGAUAAACCGGAGGAAGGUGGGGAUGACGUCAAGUCAUCACGGCCCUUAUGUCUGGGGCGACACACGUGCUACAAUGGCCGGUACAAUGGGUUGCAAACCCGCGAGGGGGAGCUAAUCCCAAAAAGCCGGUCUCAGUUCGGAUUGGAGUCUGCAACUCGACUCCAUGAAGUUGGAAUCGCUAGUAAUCGCGCAUCAGCCACGGCGCGGUGAAUACGUUCCCGGGCCUUGUACACACCGCCCGUCACAUGACCCGAGUCGGGUGCACCC
rnacentral:rRNA from 1 species